CUUGAGGCUGCCCAGCCACAGCGGUCGCUCGCUGGAGCGUCCUUCGCCGUAGGCAGCGAGCAGCGCCUGGGCCUC
rnacentral:antisense_RNA from 1 species